AACACUCUAAAUACUCUGUAUAUACUUGAUAUACAAUUUGUAUACAAGUAAUAUACACUCUAUAUAUACUUGAUAUACACUAGGUAUGCAUUGCGUAUACACUGGAAAAACGAAUUGCAAUAUGAUAUUCUCUUCAGUAAGAAUUCAACAUUGGCUAUACUUUGCAUUCCUUUCUCUUAGAAUUUCCAUUCGACUUCUGAGUUGUCCUCCUUAUUCUGCCUUAUUUUUAACUACAAACAAAGUAUCCAUAAGUGUGAUUUGCUGC
rnacentral:lncRNA from 1 species